rnacentral:rRNA from 1 species
AUUGAACGCUGGCGGCAGGCCUAACACAUGCAAGUCGAGCGGAUGAAGGGAGCCUGCUCCUGGAUUCAGCGUCGGACGGGUGAGUAAUGCCUAGGAAUCUGCCUGGUAGUGGGGGAUAACGUCCGGAAACGGGCGCUAAUACCGCAUACGUCCUGAGGGAGAAAGUGGGGGAUCUUCGGACCUCACGCUAUCAGAUGAGCCUAGGUCGGAUUAGCUAGUUGGUGGGGUAAAGGCCUACCAAGGCGACGAUCCGUAACUGGUCUGAGAGGAUGAUCAGUCACACUGGAACUGAGACACGGUCCAGACUCCUACGGGAGGCAGCAGUGGGGAAUAUUGGACAAUGGGCGAAAGCCUGAUCCAGCCAUGCCGCGUGUGUGAAGAAGGUCUUCGGAUUGUAAAGCACUUUAAGUUGGGAGGAAGGGCAGUAAGUUAAUACCUUGCUGUUUUGACGUUACCAACAGAAUAAGCACCGGCUAACUUCGUG